ensembl:lncRNA
GGGCAGACCCAUAGGGACACGUUGGGACCCAUAGAUGUGGGGCAGACCCAUAGGGACACGUUGGGACCCAUAAAUGUGGGGCAGACCCAUAGGGACACGUUGGGACCCAUAAAUGUGGGGCAGAUCCAUAGGGACACGUUGGGACCCAUGGAUGUGGGACAGACCCAUAGGGACACGUUGGGACCCAUAGAUGUGGGGCAGACCCAUAGAUGUGGGGCAGACCCAUAGGGACACGUUGGGACCCAUAGAUGUGGGGCAGACCCAUAGGGACACGUUGGGACCCAUGGAUGUGGGACAGACCCAUAGGGACACGUUGGGACCCAUAAAUGUGGGGCAGACCCAUAGAUGUGGGGUGGGACCCCCCCAGUGCCCCCCAAGUGCUCACAGCCACCACUGCUCACUACCAACACUACUUUAUUGUACGGCAGCGCCAUGGGGUGGGACCCAUAGAUGUGGGGCAGACCCAUAGAUGUGGGGCAGACCCAUAGAUGUGGGCUGGGACCCAUAGAUGUGGGGUGGGACCCAUAGAUGAGGAACAGACCCAUAGAUGUGGGGCAGACCCACAGAUGUGGGGUGGGACCCAUAGAUGAGGGGCAGACCCAUAGAUGAGGAACAGACCCAUAGAUGUGGGGUGGGACCCAUAGAUGAGGGGCAGACCCAUAGAUGUGGGGCGGGACCCAUAGAUGUGGAGCAGACCCACAGAUGUGGGGUGGGACCCAUAGAUGUGGGGCAGAGUCACCACUGUGGGGCAGAGCCAUGGGACAGAGGCCUCAUCUAUGGGGCAGAAGCAUCAUCUAUGGGGCAGAGGCCUCAUCUAUGGGGCAGAAGCCUCAUCUAUGGGGCAGAGGCCCCAUCCGUGGGGCAGAGGCGCGAUGUGUGGGGCUCAGUAGUUGGAGGAGCGCUCCUGCUGUCUGUAGGCCCCACGGCGAAGGUAACCGCCGUCCCCCUUCCGGUAGCCGUCCUUCUGAUCUGUGGGGCACAGGAACACUUAUGGGGCACAGCAGCACUUAUGGGGCAGAGAGGUACUUAUGGGGCACAGAAACACGGGGCAGAGGAGUACUUAUGGGGCACAGGAACACUUAUGGGGCACAGAAACACGGGGCAGAGGAGCACUUAUGGGGCAGAGGAACACUUAUGGGGCAGAGAGGUACUUAUGGGGCAGAGGAGUACAUA